GGUUAAGCGACUAAGCGUACACGGUGGAUGCCCUGGCAGUCAGAGGCGAUGAAGGGCGUGCUAAUCUGCGAUAAGCGCCGGUAAGGUGAUAUGAACCGUUAUAACCGGCGAUACCCGAAUGGGGAAACCCAGUGUGAUUCGUCACACUAUCAUUAACUGAAUCCAUAGGUUAAUGAGGCGAACCGGGGGAACUGAAACAUCUAAGUACCCCGAGGAAAAGAAAUCAACCGAGAUUCCCCCAGUAGCGGCGAGCGAACGGGGAGGAGCCCAGAGCCUGAAUCAGCAUGUGUGUUAGUGGAAGCGUCUGGAAAGGCGCGCGAUACAGGGUGACAGCCCCGUACACAAAAGCGCAUGUGCUGUGAGCUCGAUGAGUAGGGCGGGACACGUGGUAUCCUGUCUGAAUAUGGGGGGACCAUCCUCCAAGGCUAAAUACUCCUGACUGACCGAUAGUGAACCAGUACCGUGAGGGAAAGGCGAAAAGAACCCCGGCGAGGGGAGUGAAAAAGAACCUGAAACCGUGUACGUACAAGCAGUGGGAGCCCCACCACUAAGCCAGUGGUGAACUCCACAUACGCAUCCUUUGCUGAGGAUACGGUUAACGGAGCGAAAGCGACGUUCAACCUCAAAAGAAGCAGAGGGGGCUUAGUGGUGGGGUGACUGCGUACCUUUUGUAUAAUGGGUCAGCGACUUAUAUUCUGUAGCAAGGUUAACCGAAUAGGGGAGCCGGAGGGAAACCGAGUCUUAAUUGGGCGUUAAGUUGCAGGGUAUAGACCCGAAACCCGGUGAUCUAGCCAUGGGCAGGUUGAAGGUUGGGUAACACUAACUGGAGGACCGAACCGACUAAUGUUGAAAAAUUAGCGGAUGACCUGUGGCUGGGGGUGAAAGGCCAAUCAAACCGGGAGAUAGCUGGUUCUCCCCGAAAGCUAUUUAGGUAGCGCCUCGUGAACUCAUCUCCGGGGGUAGAGCACUGUUUCGGCUAGGGGGCCAUCCCGGCUUACCAACCCGAUGCAAACUGCGAAUACCGGAGAAUGUUAUCACGGGAGACACACGGCGGGUGCUAACGUCCGUCGUGAAGAGGGAAACAACCCAGACCGCCAGCUAAGGUCCCAAAGUCAUGGUUAAGUGGGAAACGAUGUGGGAAGGCCCAGACAGCCAGGAUGUUGGCUUAGAAGCAGCCAUCAUUUAAAGAAAGCGUAAUAGCUCACUGGUCGAGUCGGCCUGCGCGGAAGAUGUAACGGGGCUAAACCAUGCACCGAAGCUGCGGCAGCGAACGUAUCACCCAAGACAACUUUACGGAGUUGACGAUUGACGGAGCGAAGCGACGUCAAAGCGUUCAUUAAAGUCGAGUUGGCUUAGGGAUACGUUCGUUGGGUAGGGGAGCGUUCUGUAAGCCUGUGAAGGUGGCCUGUGAGGGUUGCUGGAGGUAUCAGAAGUGCGAAUGCUGACAUAAGUAACGAUAAAGCGGGUGAAAAGCCCGCUCGCCGGAAGACCAAGGGUUCCUGUCCAACGUUAAUCGGGGCAGGGUGAGUCGACCCCUAAGGCGAGGCCGAAAGGCGUAGUCGAUGGGAAACGGGUUAAUAUUCCCGUACUUGGUGUUACUGCGAAGGGGGGACGGAGAAGGCUAUGUUGGCCGGGCGACGGUUGUCCCGGUUUAAGCGUGUAGGCUGGUUUUCCAGGCAAAUCCGGAAAAUCAAGGCUGAGGCGUGACGACGAGGCACUACGGUGCUGAAGCAACAAAUGCCCUGCUUCCAGGAAAAGCCUCUAAGCAUCAGGUAACAUCAAAUCGUACCCCAAACCGACACAGGUGGUCAGGUAGAGAAUACCAAGGCGCUUGAGAGAACUCGGGUGAAGGAACUAGGCAAAAUGGUGCCGUAACUUCGGGAGAAGGCACGCUGACAUGUAGGUGAAGUGAUUUACUCAUGGAGCUGAAGUCAGUCGAAGAUACCAGCUGGCUGCAACUGUUUAUUAAAAACACAGCACUGUGCAAACACGAAAGUGGACGUAUACGGUGUGACGCCUGCCCGGUGCCGGAAGGUUAAUUGAUGGGGUCAGCGCAAGCGAAGCUCCUGAUCGAAGCCCCGGUAAACGGCGGCCGUAACUAUAACGGUCCUAAGGUAGCGAAAUUCCUUGUCGGGUAAGUUCCGACCUGCACGAAUGGCGUAAUGAUGGCCAGGCUGUCUCCACCCGAGACUCAGUGAAAUUGAACUCGCUGUGAAGAUGCAGUGUACCCGCGGCAAGACGGAAAGACCCCGUGAACCUUUACUAUAGCUUGACACUGAACAUUGAGCCUUGAUGUGUAGGAUAGGUGGGAGGCUUUGAAGUGUGGACGCCAGUCUGCAUGGAGCCGACCUUGAAAUACCACCCUUUAAUGUUUGAUGUUCUAACGUGGACCCGUUACCCGGGUUGCGGACAGUGUCUGGUGGGUAGUUUGACUGGGGCGGUCUCCUCCUAAAGAGUAACGGAGGAGCACGAAGGUUGGCUAAUCCUGGUCGGACAUCAGGAGGUUAGUGCAAUGGCAUAAGCCAGCUUGACUGCGAGCGUGACGGCGCGAGCAGGUGCGAAAGCAGGUCAUAGUGAUCCGGUGGUUCUGAAUGGAAGGGCCAUCGCUCAACGGAUAAAAGGUACUCCGGGGAUAACAGGCUGAUACCGCCCAAGAGUUCAUAUCGACGGCGGUGUUUGGCACCUCGAUGUCGGCUCAUCACAUCCUGGGGCUGAAGUAGGUCCCAAGGGUAUGGCUGUUCGCCAUUUAAAGUGGUACGCGAGCUGGGUUUAGAACGUCGUGAGACAGUUCGGUCCCUAUCUGCCGUGGGCGCUGGAGAACUGAGGGGGGCUGCUCCUAGUACGAGAGGACCGGAGUGGACGCAUCACUGGUGUUCGGGUUGUCAUGCCAAUGGCACUGCCCGGUAGCUAAAUGCGGAAGAGAUAAGUGCUGAAAGCAUCUAAGCACGAAACUUGCCCCGAGAUGAGUUCUCCCUGAGACUUAGAGUCUCCUGAAGGAACGUUGAAGACGACGACGUUGAUAGGCCGGGUGUGUAAGCGCAGCGAUGCGUUGAGCUAACCGGUACUAAUGAACCGUGAGGCUUAACCUU
rnacentral:rRNA from 2 species